rfam:Salmo salar isolate Sally breed double haploid chromosome ssa22, whole genome shotgun sequence.
UGGCUCAGUUGGUAGAGCAUGGUGUUUGCAACGCCAGGGUGUGGGUUCGUUUCCCAC